UGUUAGCGGCGGACGGGUGAGUAACACGUGGAUAACCUACCUAUAAGACUGGGAUAACUUCGGGAAACCGGAGCUAAUACCGGAUAAUAUUUUGAACCGCAUGGUUCAAAAGUGAAAGACGGUCUUGCUGUCACUUAUAGAUGGAUCCGCGCUGCAUUAGCUAGUUGGUAAGGUAACGGCUUACCAAGGCAACGAUGCAUAGCCGACCUGAGAGGGUGAUCGGCCACACUGGAACUGAGACACGGUCCAGACUCCUACGGGAGGCAGCAGUAGGGAAUCUUCCGCAAUGGGCGAAAGCCUGACGGAGCAACGCCGCGUGAGUGAUGAAGGUCUUCGGAUCGUAAAACUCUGUUAUUAGGGAAGAACAUAUGUGUAAGUAACUGUGCACAUCUUGACGGUACCUAAUCAGAAAGCCACGGCUAACUACGUGCCAGCAGCCGCGGUAAUACGUAGGUGGCAAGCGUUAUCCGGAAUUAUUGGGCGUAAAGCGCGCGUAGGCGGUUUUUUAAGUCUGAUGUGAAAGCCCACGGCUCAACCGUGGAGGGUCAUUGGAAACUGGAAAACUUGAGUGCAGAAGAGGAAAGUGGAAUUCCAUGUGUAGCGGUGAAAUGCGCAGAGAUAUGGAGGAACACCAGUGGCGAAGGCGACUUUCUGGUCUGUAACUGACGCUGAUGUGCGAAAGCGUGGGGAUCAAACAGGAUUAGAUACCCUGGUAGUCCACGCCGUAAACGAUGAGUGCUAAGUGUUAGGGGGUUUCCGCCCCUUAGUGCUGCAGCUAACGCAUUAAGCACUCCGCCUGGGGAGUACGACCGCAAGGUUGAAACUCAAAGGAAUUGACGGGGACCCGCACAAGCGGUGGAGCAUGUGGUUUAAUUCGAAGCAACGCGAAGAACCUUACCAAAUCUUGACAUCCUUUGACAACUCUAGAGAUAGAGCCUUCCCCUUCGGGGGACAAAGUGACAGGUGGUGCAUGGUUGUCGUCAGCUCGUGUCGUGAGAUGUUGGGUUAAGUCCCGCAACGAGCGCAACCCUUAAGCUUAGUUGCCAUCAUUAAGUUGGGCACUCUAAGUUGACUGCCGGUGACAAACCGGAGGAAGGUGGGGAUGACGUCAAAUCAUCAUGCCCCUUAUGAUUUGGGCUACACACGUGCUACAAUGGACAAUACAAAGGGCAGCGAAACCGCGAGGUCAAGCAAAUCCCAUAAAGUUGUUCUCAGUUCGGAUUGUAGUCUGCAACUCGACUACAUGAAGCUGGAAUCGCUAGUAAUCGUAGAUCAGCAUGCUACGGUGAAUACGUUCCCGGGUCUUGUACACACCGCCCGUCACACCACGAGAGUUUGUAACACCCGAAGCCGGUGGAGUAACCUUUUAGGAGCUAGCCGUCGAAGGUGGGACAAAUGAUUGGGGUGAAGUCGUAACAAGGUAGCCGUAUCGGAAGGUGCGGCUGGAUCACCUCCUUU
rnacentral:rRNA from 1 species